AUUGAACGCUAGCGGGAUGCUUUACACAUGCAAGUCGAACGAGUGGCGGACGGGUGAGUAAUAUAUCGGAACGGGCCCAGUAGCGGGGGAGAACUACUCGAAAGAGUGGCUAAUACCGCAUACGAUUGGAGCGGCCGAUAUCGGAUUAGCUAGGUGGUGGGGUAAAGGCUCCCCAAGGCAACGAUCCGUAGCUGGUUUGAGAGGACGACCAGCCACACUGGGACUGAGACACGGCCCCGACUCCUACGGGAGGCAUCAGUGGGGAAUGUUGGACAAUGGGGGAAACCCUGAUCCAGCCCUCCCGCGUGUAUGAGAAGGCCUUCGGUUUGUAAAGUACUUUUGGCAGAGAAGCGGUAUCUGCAGAAUAAGCACCGGCUAACUUCGUGCCAGCCGCCGCGGUAAUUC
rnacentral:rRNA from 1 species